GAUGAACGCUGGCGGCGUGCCUAACACAUGCGAGUCGAGCGAAGCACUUACUUUAGCUUUCUUCGGAAUGACGAAGUUUGUGACUGAGCGGCGGACGGGUGAGUAACGCGUGGGCAACCUGCCCUGUACAGGGGGAUAACAGUUAGAAAUGACUGCUAAUACCGCAUAAGCCCACAGCUUCGCAUGAAGCAGUGGGAAAAACUCCGGUGGUACAGGAUGGGCCCGCGUCUGAUUAGCUAGUUGGUAAGGUAACGGCUUACCAAGGCGACGAUCAGUAGCCGACCUGAGAGGGUGACCGGCCACAUUGGGACUGAGACACGGCCCAAACUCCUACGGGAGGCAGCAGUGGGGAAUAUUGCACAAUGGGGGAAACCCUGAUGCAGCGACGCCGCGUGAGCGAUGAAGUAUUUCGGUAUGUAAAGCCCUAUCAGCAGGGAAGAAAGUGACGGUACCUGACGAAGAAGCCCCGGCUAACUACGUG
rnacentral:rRNA from 1 species